rnacentral:rRNA from 1 species
ACGGAGGGUGCAAGCGUUAUCCGGAUUCACUGGGUUUAAAGGGUGCGUAGGUGGGCAGGUAAGUCAGUGGUGAAAUCUCCGAGCUUAACUCGGAAACUGCCGUUGAUACUAUCUGUCUUGAAUAUUGUGGAGGUGAGCGGAAUAUGUCAUGUAGCGGUGAAAUGCUUAGAUAUGACAUAGAACACCGAUUGCGAAGGCAGCUUGCUACACAAUUAUUGACACUGAGGCACGAAAGCGUGGGGAUCAAACAGGAUUAGAUACCCUGGUAGUCCACGCCCUAAACGAUGGAUACUCGACAUUAGCGAUAUACUGUUAGUGUCUUAGCGAAAGCAUUAAGUAUCCCACCUGGGAAGUACGACCGCAAGGUUG